CUUCUGCCUUCUAUUCUGGUCUUCUGCCAUCUGGCCUUCUGUACUUGCUGCCUUCUGGCCUCUGGCCUGGUCCUCUGCCUUCUUUCCUGCUGACCUUCUGUCUUUUUGGCCUUCUGCAUUCUGACUUUCUGGUGCUCUGGCCUGGCCUUCAUUUUUUCUGAUAUUCUGCCUUCUGGUCUGGCCUUCUGCCUUCUGUCCUUCUGUGCUUUCCUUUUGCCUUUCUGGCCUCAGGCCUUCUUCUUUCUGACAUUUCUAGACUGAGUCAGGGCUAGAGAGGGCUGUGGCAUUAGUUUUAAAGAUACAUCAUCCAAGAAUGUGUCCCCACACCCCAUCCCCAGGCUAUAUCCCUUUGGGGAGAAAGAAUGCUAAGGCUUCUCUGUGAGGCUGCCCCAAGUCUUUCCAGGCUGGGCUCUCUCUGACUCCACCCCACUUUCUGGCCUUAUCGUCUGCCUUCUGGCCUUGCCUUCUAGUCAUUGCUUUUUCUCCCUUUGGCUUUCUGCCUUUUUUGCCUCUGCCUUUCUGGCUUUCUUCCUUCUGGACUUCUAGCCUUCUGGCCUGGUCUUCUACCUUCUGGCCUCUGGCCUGCCCUUUUGGUUUUCUGGUCUUCUGUGUUUUGGCCUUGUCUUCUCCCUUCGGGCCUUUAGCCUUUUGGCCUUCUGCCCCUCUACCUUCUGGCCUUCUAUCUUGGACUUCUGUAUUCUGGCUUUCCAUCCUGGUCUUUUUCCUUCUGGCCUCUGUCUUCUGUCCAUCUGGCCCUCUGCCUUCUAUGCUUGCCUUCUGCCUUCUAGCCUCCUGCCUUCUGUCCUCUGGCCUUGUCCCUUCUGGCCCUCUCUCUGGCCUUCCAGCAUUCUGUCUUUUUGGUGUUCUGCCCUCUGGCCUGACCUUCUGCCUCCUAACAUUCUGGCCUUCUGACCUGGCUUUCCUGCUCUUUCUUUUGGUACAGUACCUGUUCAGGUCUUUUGCCUAUUUUUUUCCCCAUUGGGUACUCUACCUUUUUCUUAUUGGUUAGUAGGUGUUCUUUAUAUAUUCUGGAUAUUAGUUCUUGGUUGAAGAUAUUAUUGCUAAUAUGUUCUCCAUUCUGUAGGUCGCUCUCUCAUUCUCCUAAUGGUGAUAUAUGUUGGACAGAUAUUCUCAUUUAUAAUAUUAUACAUUUUAUUUCUUUUUUCUUGCAACAGAAUAGAUUUUUCUUAAGGAUAGUUAAAUGAAGAAAGCAGCAUUUUCCAGUGGAUGAAGGGGUUUGAGCAGAGGGAGGGAGGUGGGAAUGUCAGGACCUUGGAGGACACGGGUGUCACCUGACCCUCAGGGAUGUGUAAGAAUCUAGAGCCGGGGGGAGGCUGCACGAGUUUUGGGUGGGACAAUCAUGGAGGCUUUCUAAAACCAUGCUGUGGAGUUGGUCUUCCUUCCUGAAGUCCACAGAGAGUUGAAUUUUUGAGCAAGGGCUGUCAAGACCAGAGCUGGGGUUAGGAUUAUUAAUUCAACAGCAAAUGCCUGAUGUGGUGAAGUGGAGUCAGAGAGAGCCCCGCCUAGAAAGACUUGGGGCAGCCUCAUAGAGACGGCUUAGCAUUCUUUCUCCCCAAAGGCAUAUAGGCUAGGGAUGGGGUAUGGAGACACAUUCACAGACGCUGUGUCUUUAAGGAUAAUGCCACAGCCCUCUGGCUCUGACUCAGUCUAGAGCUGUCUUUCCGCUCUAUGUAAAAGCUCAGAGAACAAGCAGAUGAGUCAGAGGUCACAGGGCAAUCCUUCAUCCAUCAGUGCUCUGGCAGCAUUGGAGGAGAUGGGGCACGUCUGCCAAACUCCUCCCGCUGAAAUCUAAACAUCCCAGAACCCAGACAGGGACAUGGAAAUCAUACGUUUUAUUUUGAAAAAUAUUAUCACUCUUCUAAAAAUAUUUAAGGUGACUAACAAAAUAAUAGCAAUAACAUCUCUACUGUAUCCUUAGGCCAGACCCCAUACUGGUCAUUAUGGUAGGAGACGCACUUGGAGCUGUGCACAGAGAGGAUGCCAAAAGCAGAGGCCUGUGAUGGAGAAUAAGGCAGGAGCUCAAAGAGCCUGUGGUGGGGAGUUGUAUGUGUCCACCUGGCCAGGCUAUAGCACCCAGUUACUCAAUCCAACACUCAUCUAGGUGUUGCUCACGAGGGAUUUUGUAGAUGGGCUAACAUCUACUAUCAGUUGACUUGAGAUAAGGAGAUUACCUUCAGUUCAGUACCCCAUUUGAUCAGUUAAAAGGCCUAAAGAGUAGAAUUGAGGUUUCUCUGAGGAAGAAGAAAUUUUUCCCCAAGACUGCAGCAUCAUCAGCUCCCGCCUGAGCACUUGCAGCCUGCUGACCUGCCCUGAAGAUGUCGGAAUUGGCCAACCCCACAAUUUCAUGAGCAGAUAUGUUAAAGCUGGAGUGUAGUGGCAUUUUCUUGGCUCACUGCAGCCUCUGUCUCCCGGAUUCAAGUGAUUCUCCUGUGUCAGCCUCCUGAGUAGCUGGGAUUAUAGCUAGGUUUCAACACCAAGGAUGACUCUGGAAGGUCACUUGUUGAAACUGGCAGAGCCAUCAGGAGCCUGGGUGCUUGAAUGAACCAGUGGAGCAGAGCCCUCCUUCCCUCCCCCAUCCUCUGGUGCCCUGAACCUGCAUUGCAUCAUCAGGUAAGGUAAACCUGCACUGAUUGAGUUGAGGAGAAACAUGAGCGUUGUCAAUUGCAACAGUUAGAUAAACUCUAUAACAGGUGCUGGGGGAACGAACAUUCAUGCAAACCUUUUUUUGACACCUACUACAGUCCAGGAAACAUAGUGAGUGGCCAGAGUGAGGCACAGUUCACUCAUUCAAACAAGUCUACUA